UAGCCGUAAACGAUACUCGCUAGGUGUCGGCCACGGUGCGACCGUUGUCGGUGCCGUAGGGAAGCCGUGAAGCGAGCCACCUGGGAAGUACGGCCGCAAGGCUGAAACUUAAAGGAAUUGGCGGGGGAGCACCACAAGAGGUGGAGGCUGCGGUUCAAUUGGAUUCAACGCCGGACAACUCACCAGGAGCGACGGUUACAUGAAGGCCAGGCUGAUGACCUUGCCUGAUUUUCCGAGAGGUGGUGCAUGGCGUAGUCGUGU
rnacentral:rRNA from 1 species